CCAAUAGCGUAUAUUAAAGUUGUUGCAGUUAAAACGCUCGUAGUUGAAUUUCGGGAUCAGACUGUCGGUCGUGCCUCGGUACGCACUGGCAUUAUUGGUUCCUACCUUCUGAAGAACCGCGAUGUCAUUAAUUUGGUGUCGCGGGGAAUCAGGACUGUUACUUUGAAAAAAUUAGAGUGUUUAAAGCAGGCGCACGCUUGAAUACAUUAGCAUGGAAUAAUGAAAUAGGACGUUUGAUUCUAUUUUGUUGGUUUCUAGGAUCGACGUAAUGAUUAAUAGGGAUAGUUGGGGGCAUUAGUAUUCAAUUGUCAGAGGUGAAAUUCUUGGAUUUAUUGAAGACUAACUACUGCGAAAGCAUUUGCCAAGGAUGUUUUCAUUAAUCAAGAACGAAAGUUAGGGGAUCGAAGACGAUCAGAUACCGUCGUAGUCUUAACCAUAAACUAUGCCGACUAGGGAUCGGAUGAUGUUAAUUUUAUAAUGACUCAUUCGGCGCCUUACG
rnacentral:rRNA from 1 species